rnacentral:rRNA from 1 species
UACCAUGCAGUCGACGCAUCCUUCGGGGUGAGUGGCAGACGGGUGAGUAACGCGUGGGAAUCUACCCAUCCCUACGGGAUAGCUCCGGGAAACUGGAGAUAAUACCGUAUACGUCCUCCGGGAGAAAGAUUUAUCGGGGAUGGAUGAGCCCGCGUUGGAUUAGCUAGUUGGUGGGGUAAUGGCCUACCAAGGCGACGAUCCAUAGCUGGUCUAAGAGGAUGAUCAGCCACAUUGGGACUGAGACACGGCCCAAACUCCUACGGGAGGCAGCAGUGGGGAAUAUUGGACAAUGGGCGCAAGCCUGAUCCAGCCAUGCCGCGUGAGUGAUGAAGGCCCUAGGGUUGUAAAGCUCUUUCAGUGGGGACGAUAAUGACGGUACCCACAGAAGAAGCCCCGGCUAACUUCGUGCCAGCAGCCGCGGUAAUACGAAGGGGGCUAGCGUUGUUCGGAAUUACUGGGCGUAAAGCGCACGUAGGCGGACAUUUAAGUCAGGGGUGAAAUCCCGGGGCUCAACCCCGGAACUGCCUCUGAUACUGGGUGUCUUGAGUGUGGUAGAGGUGAGUGGAAUUGCGAGUGUAGAGGUGAAAUUCGUAGAUAUUCGCAGGAACACCAGUGGCGAAGGCGGGCUCACUGGACCACAACUGACGCUGGAGGUGCGAAAGCGUGGGGAGCAAACAGGAUUAGAUACCCUGGUAGUCCACGCCGUAAACGAUGGAAGCUAGCCGUCGGAGGAUUUAUCCUUCGGUGGCGCAGUUAACGCAUUAAGCUUCCCGCCUGGGGGAGUACGGGUCGCAAGAUUA